CGCCCCCCCUGCCCACCUCCUCCUCCCUCCAUUGUUGCAGCCACCAAAACCCUAGCCGCCCCCCCCCCCAAUCCCCUCCUCCCUAGGUGCUACUCCGUGCCGCUCGGAUCAUUGUCUUUUGGUGCGAAUCUCCAAUCGUUUUGGUGGAAGGAAGAAGGGAGGAAGGAAAAGGGGAGAACCCAAGGUGGUGGACUUCCGGAUCGUUCUUAGGGAUUUUGCCCGAACUUCGGUAAAGGCAAGUAAAAUAGUGAUGGUUAUUUCGUCUUUUGAUUGAAGAGUCUCAUACUUGAUUAUGUUUGUGCUAUUUGUGUUCGUAUCCAUAUUCCUAAUUGGGUACCAUCGUUUGAAAUUAUUCAUGCUUUAUUGAUUAUACAUGUGGAGGGUGUGGUUUGAUCAUGUUACCCAUGUGGUUAUUGAUGUGAAAUGGGUGGAAGUAUAUGUCUAGCACAUUUUAUUUGGGAAGAACUCAUGUUGUUGACAUGCAUAAUGCAUUCAUCAUCCAUUGCAUUGAAGUUUUCGUCGCGAUCUUAUGGUCCGACCGUACCGGUACAAUGAGCAUCAUAUGUUUCCCGAGAAGGGGUAUGAUGCAGCUUCAUAUCCUUAGAGGUAUGAAGGCAGAAGUCAUGUUGCAUCUGUAGCCAUGUGCAUUCAUGGGUGAAGUGUGGAACCUAUUUUGGUGAUGUGGAUAAGGUGGAUCUUUACUUUGUAAUUCAUCUUGGCAUUGAGUAAUUGAUUACUUGCUUACUUGCUGCAAAUUAAUAUUCAAGGAAGAAGUUGGGAACCAUGUGGUUGCUUAUGCACGGUUGGCUUGCAUUGUCCAACUGUUGUUUGUUUUUUUUUACUUGCUGAGAUGUGUCAUCUCACUCUUGCAUUGUCUGAUGCAGGCACCUGAUCUUUGCUUUGGGAAAGAAGGGAUGUAGCAGCACGGCCACCACACUUUUAAAUAAAGGAAUAACUGAUUAUUAAUGAUGUUAAACAGGAAGGGUCAAGUCUAGGGAAUUAUUACAUUCUAAUCUUUCAUGGUAGUUGAACUGUUUAGUUUGGUGGGCUGAGAUGUCUAUCUUUUGUCUGGUCAUGAAUGUUCUUUUCUACCGUUGCAUUUUGAUUAUACUAUGGCAAUUAUCUUUCUUUUAUAUCCUGUAUAAACUAUAUGCUUCCCUUGUUAUGCUACUUUCAAGGGAGGUGCUGCCGGAUUUUGCAAUACUUUCUUUCUCUAUGUGUUGCAUAAGUCUUGUAGAAAGGUUUUUUUGGUAUCAUCCAUUGUGUGGGAUCAGUGGGGUGUUACAGUUGGUAUCAGAGCAUAGGCUGUAGGUCCUAGCAAGUGGAGUAGUAAUAAAUUGACACACUGCACAUGUAGGAUGGGUUUUCGGUCUUGCUAUUGAUAUGAUUAUGUUAUUCUCUGUGCUAGUUUUGACAUUAUCUAGAGAGAUGCUAUGCUUAUCUCAUAUACUUAUUAUUCUCAUCCCUGUGGAUACAGCUAUGCCGCCUCGUAGAGCUCGGGGUAGUCCGCAAGCUCCUAGUGGGGACUCGAUGAGUCCGGCGGCAAUGUUAGCCGCGAUGCAGGCCAUGCAGCAGGAGUUGGCCCUUCUGAGGCAAGCCAUUCCUGUCGCCCCUGCAGGUGCUGCUCAGGGAGCUGGAGGUGGAGAAGUGCCCGGGGGCGCUGUCCCUGCGGGUGCUGUUCCUGGUGGCGGGGCCGGGGUGCCUCUUCCUGUCAGUGGUCUUUCUCUGAUGCAGUGGAUGGGCAUGAAGUUGGAUUCUUUUGAUGGCAGUGGUACUCCGGUCGAGGCGGCAGAUUGGCUGACUUAUGUGGAGGAUAAGAUGAAUGUCUUCGAGAUUGCUUAUGAAGAUCGGGUUCGCUUUGGCACUCAGCUGCUGAAGGGUGAGGCGCAGAUUUGGUGGAGAGGCGUGCAGGCAGCGCACUCCUCCUCACCAGGAGUCCUAUCAUGGGAUGUUUUCAUCAGGCAGUUCGAAAGGAGAUUCUACCCGGUCACCUUUCUGGAGAAAAUGAAGAUUGACUUGCAGUCCUACAAGCAGGAGAAGAAGUCUGUCACAGAGUAUGAGGUGGGCUUCAACAAAAUGGUCCGCUUUGUCCCUCAUGUGGCUUAUAAUGAGAUGGAGAAGGCGAGCCAAUUCCGUCAGGGUCUGAAGCCUUCUAUCAGGCAUGCUCUGGGGGCCUUUCCGUUGGUGGACUUUCGUACCACAGUGGAGCAGGCGCUGGGUGUGGAGAUGCAACACCAGUACACCAUGGAGUCGCAGAAGUCUUCGGGUGUUGAUCAACCUCGUAGCUAGGACACGAGGAGGGGCAACACUGGAGGUCCAGCUCACAAGAGGGGCAAGUCUCAGCAUCAGCGCCACCAUCCUUACCGUGGCAAAUCUUCUGACUCAGGUACUUCAGGAGGAAGUACUCAGAGGUUUCGGGCCGUUCCUAAGCCUGGGUUGGGGCUGGUGUGUUUCCGCUGUGGAGAUGCGCAUCGCCGUGCAGAGUGUCAGUGGAGUGGCAGGUGUUCUAUCUGCAGUCAGGACCACAAGGAUGUGGUGUGUAGGAGGAAUCCCAAUGGGAAGCUCAGAUGGGAGCCGAUAGCUUCCUCCUCUUCUCAGGGCACUAUCAAUAUGAUGUCAAGUGCUGAGCAGCAGUUUUCAGUUCCUCUUCCUCCACAGCAGCUUUAUGUGCCCGGGACUUCUCAGUUCGUGCCGAUGCAAGGUUUUCCGCAGUAUCAGGUUGUGCCUACUCCUGCGCCGUCUACCCCUGUGCUGUCUCAGUUUGGAGCUCCGCGCCAGCCUCCUCCGGUGGCUCAGUGGGGUUCUUCUGUUAAUUUCACUCCGGGAGCUUCCUCUUCUGCGGGUAUUUCUGGAGCUUAUGUGCUACCCGCUACGGAUGGCAGGGAGCAAGGAGACGUGGUGACAGGUACGAUUUCAGUUGAUUCAUUUGCGGUCCAUGCUCUUUUUGACUCUGGCGCUAGCUAUUCGUUUGUUUCGGAGGAUUUUGUGUCGCGGGCUGGUCUUUCGGUGCAGAGGUUGGGUCACCCAAUUUUGGUCAGUUCUGCUAAUGGCUCCAUUAGUAGCUGUUCAGUUUGUCAGGGGUGUUCCGUCAUUCUUGCUGAUGAGGUUUUUUCGGCUAAUCUGGUGGUGAUUUCCUUGGGGGGCAUUCGAUGUUAUCUUGGGUAUGGAUUGGUUAUCCCAGUAUCGCGCGGUUAUAUCCUGCUUCUGGAAGACAGUGUUAUUGCAGGUGCCGUCGGGUAAGGAGGUGGUAUUCUUGGGAAGUUCUCCGAAGUUCACAUUAUCCUUGUUGGCGCAAUUGCUUCCUGAUCGCUGGUCAAGGAAGUCGGGGAUCUUUUUCUCUAUGGUGGUGGAGGGCGAGGCUGCCUUGCGGGUGCAGGACAUCCGGGUGGUGUGUGACUUUGCUGACGUGUUUCCAGCAGAGCUUCCAGGCAUUCCUCCGGAGCGCGAUGCAGCUUUUGAGAUUAAGCUGAUCCCGGGUACGCAGCCUAUUCAUAAGGCCCCGUAUCGAAUGGCUCCAAAGGAGCAGAUUGAAUUAAAGCGGCAAUUGGAUGAUCUGCUGGCUAAGGGCUUCAUUAGGCCUAGCAGGUCUCCAUGGGCUUCCCCAGUAUUGUUUGUUGAGAAGAAGGAUAAAAGCAAGCGGCUGUGUGUGGAUUAUCGUGCUUUGAAUCAAGUGACAAUCAAGAAUAAAUAUCUGCUUCCCCGAAUUGAGGUCCUCUUUGAGCAGUUGAGGGGUGCCCAGGUGUUCUCCAAAAUUGAUUUGAACUCUGGUUAUCAUCAAUUGAGGAUUCGUGAGGAGGAUAUUGAGAAGACUGCCUUCUGCACCAGGUAUGGGCAUUAUGAGUUCAUAGUCAUGUCCUUUGGCUUAACUAAUGCCCCUGCUGCGUUUAUGGAAGCAAUGAAUAGGAUGCUGCAUGAAUUCUUGGACGAUUUUGUGGUCGUAUUCCUAGAUGAUAUUUUGAUUUAUUCAAAGACCGAGGCCGAGCAUGAUCAGCAUCUCCGUCUCGUUCUGGGUGCCCUAAGGAAGAAUCAAUUCUAUGGCAAGUUGAAGAAGUGUGCCUUUUGGCUAUCUGAAGUGGCUUUCCUGGGGCACGUGAUUAAUCAGCAGGGUAUUGCGGUUGACCCCAAGAAUGUUGCGGCUGUAGUGGAGUGGAAGAGACCUUCUAGUGUCUCUGAAAUCCAAAGUUUCUUGGGGCUUGCUGGGUAUUAUCGGCGUUUCGUACCAAAUUUUUCCAGCAUUGCUAAGCCUUUGACUAGGCUCUUGGGGAAGGGUGUUCCCUUCAUCUGGUCCGGCGAUUGUGAGAUCAGUUAUCAGUCAUUGAAGAGCAAGUUGGUGGACGCCCCUAUCCUAGCUUUGCCUGAGAGCGGUAAGCGUUUCACAGUUUAUACGGAUGCUUCGCGUAUUGGUCUUGGCUGUGUGCUGAUGCAGGAAGGCAGGGUGAUUGCUUAUGGCUCAAGGCAGUUGAGGAAGCAUGAGGGGAAUUAUCCAACUCAUGAUCUGGAAUUGGCUGCGGUGGUUUUUGCUCUAAAGUCGUGGAGGCAUUACCUUUAUGGCGAGGCUUGUGACAUUUUCACUGAUCACAAAAUUCUCAAGUAUAUUUUUACUCAGAAGGAGCUGAAUUUGAGGCAGCGUCGGUGGCUAGAAUUGAUUAAAGAUUAUGAUUUGUCCAUUCAUUAUCACCCGGGGAAGGCUAAUGUGGUGGCGGAUGCCCUUAGCAGGUCCGGGGUUCCAAAGGUGGCCUUGCCGUUGAUCGCUGAUCUGGACCGUUUGGGGAUCGCUUUGUGUUAUGUCGGCACCGCUAGCGAAGAGACUCAGAUGCUUAUUCAAUCCUCUCUUAUGGAGAGAGUGCGUGCGGCUCAGCAGCAGGAUCGUCUUUUGCAGGAAGCCCGAAGGAGGGUUGGUGAUGGUAAACCGCGGGAGUUCACCAUUGAUGAGAAUGAUUUGGUUCGUUUCAGGGGCCGUCUUUGUGUGCCUCAGAAAUCAGAGGUGAAGCUGGAUAUCCUGCGAGAAGCUCAUAAAACGCCUUACACCGUCCAUCCUGGCGAAACCAAAAUGUACCGAGAUUUGAAGCAAAACUUCUGGUGGAAGCGGAUGAAGGUUGACAUUUCUAAGUAUGUGGCCGCCUGUGAAGUAUGUCAGCGCGUGAAGGCCGAACAUAAGCGGCCUGCAGGUUUGCUGAAGCCAUUGGAAAUUCCAGAGUGGAAAUGGGAGCAUAUCACCAUGGAUUUUGUGGUGGGUCUACCUCAUUCCCCUCGUGGCAGGGAUGCUAUUUGGGUGGUAGUGGAUCGCUUGACUAAGUCUGCGCAUUUUAUUCCCAUGAAGACCACGAAUUCAGCUUCAGAUUUGGUUCCCUUGUAUAUGAAGGAAGUAGUCAGGCUUCACGGGGUACCUAAGUCUAUUGUUUCUGAUCGAGACUCCAAAUUUGUAUCCAAAUUCUGGGAGUCUCCACAGUGCAUUGGGCACCAAGCUUUCGCUUAGUGUCGCUUUUCACCCUCAGACGGAUGGUCAGUCAGAGCGAACAAUCCAAACCUUGGAGGAUAUGUUGCGUGCUUGUGUUCUGUCAUGGAAGGGUAGCUGGGAGGACCAUCUUGCUCUGGCAGAGUUUGCGUAUAACAACAGCUACCAAGCUAGCAUCAAGAUGGCACCAUUUGAGGCUUUGUAUGGCAGGCGGUGUAUCUCUCCUCUGUGCUGGGAGACUUUGGGAGAGAGAUCCCUGGUUGGUCCUGAUUGGGUUCAGCAAACUUCUGAAAAGGUUCGGGAAAUUCGUCAGAAUAUUUUGGCAGCUCAGAGUCAUCAGAAGAGUUAUGCUGAUGUGAGGAGGCGGGAUCUGGAAUUUGCUGUGGGUGACCAAGUCCUUCUCAGGGUAUCACCCACUAAGGGAGUUGUUCGGUUCGGUGUCUCUGGGAAGCUCAGCCCAAGAUACAUUGGACCGUUCACUAUCUUGGCCCGGGUGGGCAGCCUGGCUUAUCGCUUGCUGCUGCCGGAUUCCAUGGCAGGGGUACACCCGGUUUUUCAUGUCUCUAUGUUGAGGAAGUUCUUGCGGGAUCCGGACCAUCAGAUUGAGAUGGAACCAAUUGCAGUGCAGCAGGAUCUGACUCUGGAGUGUCGUCCGGUGCGUAUAUUGGAAUUCUCGGAGCGUGUGUUGAGGAAGAGAUCAAUUAAGUAUGUCAAGGUCUUAUGGUCUAAUCAGUCAGAGCGCGAGGCUACGUGGGAACUUGAGGAGUUGAUGCGGCAGAAGUACCCGGAACUUUUCGUUGUGGGUAAGUGUUGUUGAUUCGCUAAUCUUUUCUUGUGUCAUUCCGAUAGGAGCGUCAGAAUUCGAGGUCGAAUUCUUUUUAAGAGGGGUAGAAUGUGAUACCCGGUUUGCAAAGAAGAGAAGUUGGGGUUGUUCUUUUUGUUUUUUUCCCUCAUCCAGUUGUUGUUUUGGGGAUUUGGAAUUUUGUGAACAACAUUCGCAACUAGGGCAGUAGAAUUUAUUUGGUUUGACGUUUGCGUUGCGGUCGGGAGCUGUCGCGUGGGUUAGUUGGGCUGCAAUUGGUGUUUCGGCCCAUUAGCCUCCCAAACCCUAGCCGCCACCCUCCUAACUACCCCCCCCAUGUGCAGCUGCCCCCCCCCCCCACUCCUCCUUUCCCCUUGGUCGCCGCCCCCCUGCCCACCUCCUCCUCCCUCCAUUGUUGCAGCCACCAAAACCCUAGCCGCCCCCCCCCAAUCCCCUCCUCCCUAGGUGCUACUCUGUGCCGCUCGGAUCAUCGUCUUUUGGUGCGAAUCUCCAAUCGUUUUGGUGGAAGGAAGAAGGGAGGAAGGAAAAGGGGAGAACCCAAGGUGGUGGACUUCCGGAUCGUUCUUAGGGAUUUUGCCCGAACUUCGGUGAAGGCAAGUAAAAUAGUGAUGGUUAUUUCGUCUUUUGAUUGAAGAGUCUCAUACUUGAUUAUGUUUGUGCUAUUUGUGUUCGUAUCCAUAUUCCUAAUUGGGUACCAUCGUUUGAAAUUAUUCAUGCUUUAUUGAUUAUACAUGUGGAGGGUGUGGUUUGAUCAUGUUACCCAUGUGGUUAUUGAUGUGAAAUGGGUGGAAGUAUAUGUCUAGCACAUUUUAUUUGGGAAGAACUCAUGUUGUUGACAUGCAUAAUGCAUUCAUCAUCCAUUGCAUUGAAGUUUUCGUCGCGAUCUUAUGGUCCGACCGUACCGGUACAAUGAGCAUCAUAUGUUUCCCGAGAAGGGGUAUGAUGCAGCUUCAUAUCCUUAGAGGUAUGAAGGCAGAAGUCAUGUUGCAUCUGUAGCCAUGUGCAUUCAUGGGUGAAGUGUGGAACCUAUUUUGGUGAUGUGGAUAAGGUGGAUCUUUACUUUGUAAUUCAUCUUGGCAUUGAGUAAUUGAUUACUUGCUUACUUGCUGCAAAUUAAUAUUCAAGGAAGAAGUUGGGAACCAUGUGGUUGCUUAUGCACGGUUGGCUUGCAUUGUCCAACUGUUGUUUGUUUUUUUUUACUUGCUGAGAUGUGUCAUCUCACUCUUGCAUUGUCUGAUGCAGGCACCUGAUCUUUGCUUUGGGAAAGAAGGGAUGUAGCAGCACGGCCACCACACUUUUAAAUAAAGGAAUAACUGAUUAUUAAUGAUGUUAAACAGGAAGGGUCAAGUCUAGGGAAUUAUUACAUUCUAAUCUUUCAUGGUAGUUGAACUGUUUAGUUUGGUGGGCUGAGAUGUCUAUCUUUUGUCUGGUCAUGAAUGUUCUUUUCUACCGUUGCAUUUUGAUUAUACUAUGGCAAUUAUCUUUCUUUUAUAUCCUGUAUAAACUAUAUGCUUCCCUUGUUAUGCUACUUUCAAGGGAGGUGCUGCCGGAUUUUGCAAUACUUUCUUUCUCU
rnacentral:lncRNA from 1 species